GACACGCUACGCAGGCUAAUACUGCAGUCGAACGGUGCUUCGGGCAUAGUGGCGCACGGGUGCGUAACACGUAUGCAACCUACCUUACAUUGGGGGAUAGCCUUUCGAAAGGGAGAUUAAUACCGCAUAACACAGUGAGUUGGCAUCAGCUUAUUGUUAAAGAUUUAUCGAUGUAAGAUGGGCAUGCGUCCAAUUAGUUAGUUGGCGAGGUAACGGCUCACCAAGACGAUGAUUGGUAGGGGAACUGAGAGGUCAAUCCCCCACACUGGCACUGAGAUACGGGCCAGACUCCUACGGGAGGCAGCAGUAGGGAAUAUUGGGCAAUGGACGCAAGUCUGACCCAGCCAUGCCGCGUGCAGGAAGACGGCCCUCUGGGUUGUAAACUGCUUUUAUAUAGGAAGAAAGAAUCCUUGCGAGGAUAGUUGACGGUACUAUAAGAAUAAGCACCGGCUAACUCCGUGCCAGCAGCCGCGGUAAUACGGAGGGUGCAAGCGUUGUUCGGAUUUAUUGGGUUUAAAGGGUGCGCAG
rnacentral:rRNA from 1 species